rnacentral:misc_RNA from 1 species
AAGUCGUAACAAGGUAACCGUAGGUGAACCUGCGGUUGGAUCAUUAAUAAAUGAUUUGCCAGUUCUCUCUGUUUACAGAGAUUGAGCAGGCAUUAACCCUUUGUGAACAAUUAUUGUGCUUGACAACUUUGUUGUCUUGCGCUAUAAACCCUAUAUGAUUAUCUGAAUAAGAGUUAAUGAGAAACAACUUUUGACAAUGGAUCUCUUGGCUCUC